UUGCAAUUUUCGAUAUUACGAAACCACCUCGGUUGAGCACCGUUCAUAACCUUCGUUUUGGCCCUGAAUAUUUUCAGUAAUUUCGUGAUUUUCAGCGUUGAAAUUAAAAAAAAUAAAUUUAUAUUAGGAAUGUUGAGGUCACUAUUCAGCUAAAAAUAAAUUAGAAUUUUAAAAUUUCCAUAAUUUUUCAAUUCCUAUAACGUGUUUUCCUGUCAUUCGACUAAAAAGAGUUGUUACUCUUUGUCCUCAAGCAAGUUUCAUUUUACUGUUGACGGACCGUGAAAAAAUCGAUGCAAAUUUUUAAGGUUUAAUUAUUAUUCAAAUUGAAGGAUAUAUUUAAUAUAUUUACUACAUUUCUCUCCGUACGAUAGUACUUCGAAGCUCACAUCACAGUUGAAUUUUUUCCCAUAAUCGGAAAGUUAGGUUAUUAUUGAAUUUCCAGAUAUGAAAGACAGUUCUUCGACGUGAAUUUGUAUCAAAAUCGGAUGUGAUAACUGAUAGUUUAUUUUGUCACUAAUAAUACUUAUUUUUCAGGCACAUAUUAAUUCAUCAUAUCAAGAAAUGUAUGAAAUUCAUAAAUGUCAAAUAUCAUCUAUCGGAAAGUCUCAUUUUAAAUAAAAAAAGCUACUUCAGGGGUAAGCUUCUAAGCAAUUGGUUCAAAAGAGUUUCUAUUUGAAGUAUAUGAUCCAUUUGUCAAGUUUACAUAAUGGAUUUCAGAUUAAAUUACAUGCAAACUCACAGAAUGGGAAACAUCCUUAAUCUUGGUGUAUGAACAUUUCUAGAUAACAAACGGUUAUUGGGGGCAUAUAUAAAUUUAUCAGAUCAAGAAAUGUAUAAUAUCAUCUCUCGGACAGUGUUAUUUGGUAAAAAAAAAUGUUCUUCAGAGUAAGUUUCUCAAGCAGUUCGUUCAGGAGAGUUUCUAUGUGGAGCAAAUGAUCUAUUUCGAUUCUUUUCAACUGAACACAACAGAUUUCUGACAACUUUCAAGCAAUUGGGUAGUGUACGGAGAUGAUUUUCUUAGGCUAGAUCUAUGGAAAAAUAUGUUUUGAGAUAAGUUAUUCAGUUGGAAUGAUAUAAUGAUUAUUGAAACACAAUCUAUGAGUGAGUUUUUGCGUUAAAAUUCUAUAUUUAUAGACAUUUGUCAGGUUCUCCCAUUUGGGGUAAGAUUUUUGCUAUUAUCGUAGAGAGAGGGACCCUGUAGGUUUUUGUUCAAAAUAAACAGAAUUAAACGUUAUAAUGCUUGAAA